GCAUGUAGUUGUGCUGGCGCUGGAGCAGAAGGUUGAACUGUGGCUCAGAGACAGGGUCAGACUAUCACUUUACCUCCGCCUCUGUGCCUGCUAAAAUGAGCUAGUCAGUGCACUGGGGAUAUAAAGUCAAGACUCCACCCGUUCCCUAUGCUUGCCCACCCAUUCCCUAUGUGCACAGGAAAGGGACAAGCAGCCUGUGACAGAGCUGCUGGAGGCCAGUCUGCCUGAGACUGAAGGAAUUGUCUGACUGAAGGAAGAACAACGCAACUUUGUAUGAUCAGCUGGAGUGGUGCUUCUAAAGCUAGAUGUUGUGGAAAUUUGGAUGUUGAAGGACUGAGUUUCUCUGAGUCCAGAAAAUCUUUCACAUGCAACAUGACACCACAAACCAGACAAACUCAGCAACAUGGAAGCCAUUCCAUCCAUGCACAAAGACAUUCUAUGUUUCAAAUGUAUAUGGACUAGCCUUCAAAAUCCACUUGUAAUUAGUUGAGCAAGUCUAUCAAAGGUUCAAGACUCAUCUCUGUUUCUCAUUUUGAUGCGGGCUCAAGAAAGCAACACUUGAAGACUUAAACGUCAGACACAAAGCAAACUAGUGCAGGCUCAAGGUCUGGAAUUUUGCUUCAAGUUCUUCUCUUAAAAUGGUAAAGCUGAAUGGACUGUUACCAAAGAAACUGAAAGGAAGCUACUCAAGGAGAAGCUGAGGCAAGAGGAGGAAAGGGGGAGAACAGAUAACAAAAUUAAUUCUCUUCUAAGCGCAGAAUUAGAGGAGCUGAAGCAACCCUUGCAGAAUGCAAUAAGCAGAGAAAGCCAUGCUUGAGAAAGUAAAGAGAUUCUGAGUGAUGGCGUCCACCCAAGAAUUCUACAAGUACUGCAUAAGCAAAUCCAGAUAAAGACAUUUUUGAACAGCUACUCGACACACAAUUAACAGAAGGAACUGAACUAGAGAAAGCGCACAUACAAUCCCAGAACAGAUGGAUUAUAAAUCUCUGAAACAGAAGGCCCCGCCUACAGAAGUUCCUAUCCAUCUUUAGAGAACUAGAGACAACAAAAUAACUAUAGCAACAUUUUAACGAUAGGGGGGUGUGCAUGUGUUUUCACUCACCUUCAGCAGAUUGUAAGUCACAAGACCAGCGGUCAGGGGCCUUAUUCUCCUUGGGCUUGAACCUGCAAGGUGCUGAGCUCUUUGGCUUUGAUCCAGCAAAGCACUUAAAACAUACACAUCCUAUUUUUAAUUGCAGCAGCUCAGCUAAAGAAACCAUUCAUCAUGCUCCAUAGAGCCCAAGCAGCUCCAUGAGUUCAGCAGGAGUUGAGAGUUCUCAGGAUCAUGAAGGAUUGGGCUUUGAAAGAAGGAGUGGAAACAGGCUGUUUGUCCCCCAUCAGGACCAAGAAGUUGACUGGAAGUUUAAAGAGGCUGGAUCUUCACUAGAAAGAAGGAUGGUUAGGAGUCUAAAAGGGUGGAGAUGCAGAUUUGCAUGGGGAUGGAGGCAUAUCCAUAUGCCUGGGUUUACACUAUCUAGCAUGUUUUGUGGUAGAAUAGCACAUAUUUGGAUGGCAAGGAGGAGUUGAAGCAGAUAAGACACUACUGUAGACGCAGAAGUUGAGGAACCAAUAUGACAGGCUGGGGUUUCCAGGGCUAUAUAGCAUUUGCAUAGACAUCUUGUGAUGGGGGCAGAAACAGCAGGCAGUAGGACCCCUAUAAACUUAGUACAUGGACCAGAUCUCAGGGCCAGAUCUUCCAGUGCUCAGCGUCCUCAUCUGGAGGCAGAUUUUCAAAAGAGCUGACCAGUCAACAUGACGACUAGUUCUUCUGAAAAUCUGGCCCAAAGUACCCAAACUACCAUUAUGCCUGUCCCUCAGGAGGUUCUGCUCAUGAUGGUGCCUUCCCCAAGUGAUUUAAACUACAAGCAUUUAGAGACCUCUCCCGCAUAAUCCAAAGUUUUACUAUCAGAAAACUGAAUACUGAUCAUAAUUACUCUGGCUCCAUAUGGCAGUCCCAGCUAGGACACGGCUAGAAUUCUCCCCCAUAGGGACUUUCAACCAACUGCCAAUAAUUUCCCAGACUCCCAUUACAAAUAAAUAAAUAAAGCAGGAGAAAAAUGAAAAUGAAGAGGAUACUUGAAAUUGCAGAACUGAAUUCAGGACAUAUUUUAAAAAAGCACUGAGGAGAGCAUAGUCUGGCCAGUGACACUUCCCUGUCCUAUCCAUCAUUGAGCCGAGAACAGUAAUUCCUUGUUUGCAGCCUUCUCUGUUAGAGGCUAAAUGUGAUUGCAACUGAAGUACAUUGAUUAACCCAAAAUAACUUUCCCUCAAUUUGCUGGCUGCACAGGAAGACUCAGGAGACCUGCUUUUGUUCUGAGCUAGUCAUUCAGGAGCCCUGGCUCCAGUCCUUAUGUAUCUAUUGAAACUGAGUGAACCAGAAAAACCCUAGAAACUACACAAGGACACAUAGUGCUGUUUAGUUAGUUUAAAGCGAGGAUUUUUUUUCUGCAUCACUUCUGCAAUAUUUUUAAUGGUCUAGUUAAAAUAAUUUCAUGGUUGCAGUUUUUGUUCCUGUGCUUAGCAAAGCAAACUGUAGGGGUUACAGCUGAGAGAGGCAUGGGGGAAGGGAGGGGACAAUCUCUCCCUCGGCACAAAAAAAGUGCAGCAUUUUAUCAUGCUGCUUACAAAAUGAUGUGUUUAAAGGGCAGAAUUGUCAAUGUCAGAUGCGAGGCUGAGGUACCUAUUAAUAAACAGCCUCCGCAUCAGAAAUUCUUUGUAGACUUUAAUCAGGAAUUUUCCAUAGUAACGCCGUGUGCCUACGGUUAGCUCAGCAACCGUGGUUUAAAUUCCACCCCAUGGACUUUGAGUUCAUCUUUGCAAGCAGAAGAACGCAUAUAAGAUCACGUGAACACAAUUCUCUUCACUGGAAGUUAAAAUGUUAUGUCUUUCUGUUUCUCUCUGUCUCUUCUAUUUCUUCCAGUAUAUUUUAAAUAGAUGUUGGCUGGAGAGGUGGGAUUCAGGUCCAGAUUAAUUAUAGGAUGGGGUUUGGAGUUCACUUUGAAACCAAAUCUGGGCUGUGAUUCAGGUUCAGAUUUGUUGGUGUCAAAAUCUAAAAAGCUGUUCUUGAAGUAGUCUCACAAGAUGAUGGUAUAGCUGGUCUUGUGAGACUUCCAAUAUCUCGUGCCAAACUCUCACUAAAAUUUCUUUUCUUGCAAGAUCUCAGCCAUGUUUGAACCAGAUCCAGGAAAUAGGCCCCUUCUGAUUUGGGAUCUGGCCCAGAACUGAAAAUGUGGGGGAAGACUCAGAUCCCAGGAUUUCAACCUUAAAUAUGCCCUCUUGUUCCCAAAUUGGGAGAGGUCAAUAUCCAAGGCCCAGUUCUGUCCCAUCUCCAAAUUUAACCACACAGCCAUUGCACAACAAAAGAUACUCAAAUAUUAGAGGUGGAACAGCUGUAAGUCCAAGCCUGCUUGGGAUAAAAAAAUCAGCAUCAGCUCUUCUGUUAGUGUCUUCCCACCCUCUCCAGAUCCGUUUUGGUUUCCUCAGGUUAGUUUCAUAACACAGCCAUUUGGAAUGUCAGAGGUGUCAUGUAAAUGCCUUCUACUCUUUUGAGUGUAGAAACCCUCCCACGUGUCACUGCUAAGGGUUCUAAGAAGGUCUUAGUAUGACUAGAAAAGAACAACACAACAAUUCAGCCUCCUUUAUUCUCAGAACUUUCACCCAACAACAGGGAUUGUAAUCCAAGGCUCUGACCCUGCAACUGACAGUGAAUGGGCAGACUGUUGCACCUGCACAGAGCCCCAUAGACUCUAGUAUGGUUCUGUGUGGACCCAGCAGACAUCCCACCUGCUGCCAAUUGCAGGUGAAGGGUCCAAACAUCAGCCUGCUCCAGGGCCAUCUAUCUGACUCCCAAGACAACCCACACUACCACAAAGCUAACCUGAGCAUUCUUAAACAUACCUGUUCCUCAGAUACAUACAUAUACCUUUGCAGAAAACUAGUUAGGAUAUAUAUGGUACAUUGCAUGUAUGGCACAACCCAAAUCAAACCAAAUAAAAGCUCUAACAAUA